GCCCAAUGCUUUAAUGAUUUUUCUUUUUUGAAUUUAAAAUUUAUUUGAUGCUUUGUUCUUGCUUUUAGUUUCCAUCUUUUCAUUUCAUCGUUUGUUUCUGUUUGUAUUUUUAGUUUCAAGUCUUGUCUGAUAUAUCUAUGUCCAACCUGCAUGUGUACCAGGAUCACCACCGAACAAGAACAAAUUGGUAAUUAUAUAUUUCUAUAUACAUAUAUGAUUAUCAGAAUAAAUAUAAUAAUAUAUAAUAAUAUUCAUAUAUACAUAUGAUUAUAUAUAUUUUGUCAGUUAUACCAUCUCAACCAAUACAUUUCUAACAGUCCUCUUUUCUACAGCAAUGAUUGGGUUAAGAAAAUUUCAUUCUGUCAAGUUUGUGUUGCUGUUACAAACAAUGUUGCCCAACCAUAUCCCAAUGUUGUUGGCGAUGUAAAAAAAUAUAGUGAAGGAACG